rnacentral:piRNA from 1 species
UCACCUCUGUGCGUGUGUGUGUAUGUGU